GCUUGUCUCAAAGAUUAAGCCAUGCAUGUCUAAGAAUAAGCCCAUAGAACGGCGAAUCUGCGAAUGGCUCAUUACAUCAGUUAUUGUUUAUUUGAUGGUACACUAUGCCUUUUAGGCAGGGCUACUUGGAUAACCGUAGUAAUUCUAGAGCUAAUACAUGCCUUGAAAAGUCCUGACCUUUAUGGAAGGGAUGCAGUUAUUAGAUACAAAACCAACCCGGGCAACCGGUCCUUUGGUGAUUCAUGAUAACUUUGCGAAUCGCAUAGCUUUAAUGCUGGCGAUGGGUCAUUCAAAUUUCUGCCCUAUCAACUUUCGACGGUAGGAUAGAGGCCUACUGUGGUGAUAACGGGUAACGAAGAAUAAGGGUUCGAUUUCGGAGAGGGAGCCUGAGAAACGGCUACCACAUCCAAGGAAGGCAGCAGG
rnacentral:rRNA from 1 species